ACAGCAGUCGCCGCGGUAAUACGUAUGUCACAAGCGUUAUCCGGAUUUAUUGGGCGUAAAGCGCGUCUAGGUGGUUAUGUAAGUCUGAUGUGAAAAUGCGGAGCUCAACUCUGUAUUGCGUUGGAAACUGUGUAACUAGAGUACUGGAGAGGUAAGCGGAACUACAAGUGUAGAGGUGAAAUUCGUAGAUAUUUGUAGGAAUGCCGAUGGGGAAGCCAGCUUACUGGACAGAUACUGACGCUGAAGCGCGAAAGCGUGGGUAGCAAACAGGAUUAGAUACCCCAGUAGUCCCUGUCUCUUAUACA
rnacentral:rRNA from 1 species